rnacentral:rRNA from 1 species
GAGUUUGAUCGUGGCUCAGGAUAAACGCUGGCGGCAUGCCUAAUACAUGCAAGUCGAACGGGAGUGCUUGCACUCCAGUGGCGAACGGGUGAGUAACACGUAUCUAAUCUACCUUUUAGUGGGGGAUAACCUUUGGAAACGAAGGAUAAUACCGCAUAAGAUCUUCAUUAUGACAUCAGAAGAAGAGGAAAGAUCCGUUUGGAUCGCUAAAAGAUGAGGAUGCGGCGUAUUAGUUAGUAGGCGGGGUAAAGGCCCACCUAGACGAUGAUACGUAGCCGAACUGAGAGGUUGAUCGGCCACAUUGGGACUGAGAUACGGCCCAGACUCCUACGGGAGGCAGCAGUAGGGAAUUUUUCACAAUGGACGAAAGUCUGAUGAAGCAAUGCCGCGUGAGUGAUGAAGGUCUUCGGAUUGUAAAGCUCUGUUGUAAGGAAGAAU